UGCCCAGCAACUCCUAUCCCUACCUCCACGCGGUACCGGCCGGAAACUAUGAGCAACCUUAGGGAAGAUCGGGUAACCAACCCCGGUGGGAACUUUGGUCGUAGGCUGACAGGGAAAG
rnacentral:ribozyme from 1 species